AAGAAAAGGGAUGAAAAAAGAAAGAGCAAGGAAGAUAAGGAGACAAAAGAGGAAGAGAAAAGGCGAAGAGAAAGAAAGAAAAGAGGAAGAGACAAGGGAAAAGAAAAAAAGGAGCCGCUAGAACGCGUCGACUCGGUUUGUUUACGUUUUGCCGCGGGGAGUUGCACGUGUGGGCGGCGUUCAAAAAGAUCUACGUUUAUUUCACGUUCCUGACCUCGCCCGCCUAUAAAAGUCCUCGUUGCUCCAGGGCGUAGCUCCGUUAUCCUGGGGGGCCUAUGGGGGUGCGGGGUACAGGCACCCAUCGCUCUGGGACACCUUGCCUCAGUGCUCAUCUCUGUCAAAUUAAAGACUCAAGAGCUGUGUGAAGAAGCUGAGCAGCGUCUCCCUGGCCUGGGCGUGGAGUGAGCUGGUCCCCUCAUCACCAGCACCAUAGACCAGGG